AGUGAACGCUGGCGGUAUGCCUAACACAUGCAAGUCGAACGGCAGCACAGUAAGAGCUUGCUCUUACGGGUGGCGAGUGGCGGACGGGUGAGGAAUACAUCGAAAUCUACUUUUUCGUGGGGGAUAACGUAGGGAAACUUACGCUAAUACCGCAUACGCCCUACGGGUGAAAGCAGGGGAUCUUCGGACCUUGCGCGAUUCAAUUAGCCGAUUUCGGAUUAGCUAGUUUGCGGGGUAAAGGCCCACCAAGGCGACGAUCCGUAGCUGGGCUGAGAGGAUGAUCAGCCACACUGGAACUGAGACACGGUCCAGACUCCUACGGGAGGCAGCAGUGGGGAAUGUUGGACAAUGGGCGCAAGCCUGAUCCAGCCAUACCGCGUGGGUGAAGAAGGCCUUCGGGUUGUAAAGCCCUUUUGUUGGGAAAGAAAAGCAGCAGGUUAAUACCCCGCUGUUCUGACGGUACCCAAAGAAUAAGCACCGGCUAACUUCGUG
rnacentral:rRNA from 1 species